rnacentral:tRNA from 1 species
AAAUAUUUAGCAUAAAAAUUAGAAAUGUGUUUAAUUUCGAAUUAAGAGAUACUUUGAAAAAGUAAUAUUUA